CUCUCCCCGCUGUCCUGAGCCUUUCGCCGUCACCUGAGUAUAUAAGGUGGCAAAACUCGCGAGACAAGAGAACUGAUACGUCACUUAAAGCGAAUAGUUAAUUAGAGUGCGAAUUUAAGCGACACUAAGUGCGAGUAAAACGUGAGUAAGAGGUCACCUGAGAACGAGAUUGGCCUAAUCGAGACAGACGAGGCAGAGGAGGUGGUACGAUUCAACCGAGAGCGAGCAAAAAGACAGCACUGGGUCGUGGAUUGCAGCUUUUUUCUACCUGCAAAAGUCGUAACUAUUUGGAGAUCUCUUAUGGAAAGAAAAAAUCAUUCUUACACACAUAUUAAAUUUACCUAAUAUUACAAGAAUAAAAUAUAUCCAAGUUGCAGCAGUCUUCAAUUUUAACCGACAAUUUUACACCGAAAACGAGAUGCAAUCUAAAAUAUUAAGUGAAACAUGUCAAAUAGUAAUUCGAAAAUUCUUAGGAAUUGUUUGUUUUUUAUUGCUUGCUCCGUUUCUUAUCACGAUUUUGAUGGUUUUAUAUAUUUACCGUUGUUGGGUGGAAACUGUGCUAAGAAUUCAACUUAAAGACAAAUUUGCCGGUAUGUUGGAAGGGUCGGAUGCUGUUUGGUGUGUCGAAAAUACAUCUUUAUCCUUGAUUACUGUCGUAUUCAUAAUGAAGAAAACCGCAGGGAGUACAAAUAUGAUCUUCUUGAAAGAUAUGAGAAACUUAUUUAAUCACUUAUUUAAGACUGCUUCCAAGAGUUUCGAGAAACUGUUUUACUAUAGAUAUCAAAAGUUUGGUUACGUUUAUUGGGAAAAAUCAAAAGAAUUUAAUCCAGAAACCGCGAUUAGAUGGUUGGAGUGUGAAAUCAGUAAUUGCGAUGGAUCUUGCGAGAAUGUUCACAGUACAACCUUUCAAGAAAAUCUAAGUUUUAUAAACAACAGACCGUUGUAUGAUGAUCACAAACCGAUGUGGGAAAUGCUCAUUGGCAGACGAUGUCCAAACGUCAAAUCUUCCAUUGAAGAGGAUCCGAGGUUGUCUUCUCAAGACAGCUUUAAUACCGAUGUAGACGAAGUUCCUGUAGUAUUUCGUGUUCAUCAUUCUCUUGGUGAUGGUAAAGCUUUAUUCAAGUUGCUUAAUGUGAUUGUCGACGAGAAUAUCACAAAUGAAGUGUCGACAAUAUUGGAAGAACCCAAGGACAGCGUUUUGACAGCUAAAGAAAACUAUUUUAAGGAGAAAGAAACUUUUCCAAAAAGAAAAAUUAUUUUACCCUUAAAAAAAGUAUAUAACACAAUUAAAGAAAUUAUGAGAAAAGUAAUACUUAUAUUGUUUUCUCUAGAAAUCUUUGUCUCUCAAAUUGUUCGUAGUAUGGAUGGCAAAAGCUCUCUGCAUGGUCGAUCUUUAUCAGGUGAGAAAUUUAUAGUUUAUUGUUUGGAAAACGAUACCAAUAAAUCGCAGCUUCUGACAAAAAUUAAAAAAAUAAGACAGUGUACAGGAUCAAAAGUUACUGACAUAAUAUUAACAGCUUUUGCUGCUGGGAUAAUUAAAUAUUAUUUACGCAUGAAGGAAUUAAUACCCAACGCAAUAUCGGUCCUCAUACUAAGAAGAAUCUCUAAGCCUAAUGACAACUUAGUACUGACCAAUGAUAUUUCGUUUAACAUAGUUAAAAGUUGUCUUGUCAACGCGAAUAAAGAUGAUGUUUUAACGUCACCUACAAACUUUCGGUUCUUUGAACGUCUUCAAAAAACUACAAUAAUAAAUAACAAAAUUAGAAGUAGCUUGGAAGCACCGUUAAAUUAUUUUUUAAAAGAUUUAGUUGGAAUUUUGCCUCUGGAAAUUAUAAAAUUUCUUAUUGCAACUCACAAUCCCACAAUGGCAUUUAGCAAUAUAAAAGGAAUAAAAAGAAAACUUUCUAUUCAGAAUCAUCCUUUAAACAACAUAAUGGUUUGGAUACCGAACAAAAAUACAACCGGGUUGUCCUUANGUCUAAUUACUUACGAAGGCAAAUUAAAUCUGUCUCUAUUNGUUGAUAAAGCAGUAAUAAGAGAUAUGAAAUUAAUCAAAGAAAUAAUAGACGAGACUAUAUGUGAAAUAGACUCUGCGUAUAAUGAUCUCGCAUAACUUUCGGAAUCAUCGGAUCGUUCAGUAAAAACACUUGUGGAAAAAAAUAGUUAGAUUCAGGAGCGUUAGAUCUAGGAAGACAGAAGCAAAAUUUAAUGUCUUUUAAAAUGGUUUUAAAAAUUACGUGUUUAUCUGUAAAACAUGAAAUAAUUUUAACCCUUUUAUGUUGGCAGGUUUUAUUUUAUAAAAUAAAAGACAAAAUGACUAUUUUAGAAACAAAAUACAUUUACAGGACAGAACAACUAAAUAAAGGACUAUCCUCUUAAAUAUAGGAAGUAUGUUCGUCGUACACAUAGCACGUAAUAUUACGCAAAUAUCGCAGUAAAAUUGCAAUAUCCCAGUAAUAUUAAAUAUUAUAAUACA